rnacentral:rRNA from 1 species
GUGGGGAAUAUUGGACAAUGGGGGGAACCCUGAUCCAGCCAUGCCGCGUGUGUGAAGAAGGCCUUUUGGUUGUAAAGCACUUUAAGCGAGGAGGAGGCUACCGAGAUUAAUACUCUUGGAUAGUGGACGUUACUCGCAGAAUAAGCACCGGCUAACUCUGUGCCAGCAGCCGCGGUAAUACAGAGGGUGCAAGCUUUAAUCGGAUUUACUGGGCGUAAAGCGCGCGUAGGUGGCCAAUUAAGUCAAAUGUGAAAUCCCCGAGCUUAACUUGGGAAUUGCAUUCGAUACUGGUUGGCUAGAGUAUGGGAGAGGAUGGUAGAAUUCCAGGUGUAGCGGUGAAAUGCGUAGAGAUCUGGAGGAAUACCGAUGGCGAAGGCAGCCAUCUGGCCUAAUACUGACACUGAGGUGCGAAAGCAUGGGGAGCAAACAGGAUUAGAUACCCCGGUAGUCC